UCCCUCAAAGCGACACACCGGGCGUCGGAGCUGCGGUUCAGACUCUGCUUGGGUCUCGGGUUUGGUUGUUUAGUUGUGCUGUGUUGUAUUUUGUUUUGUUUUGUGUUUAAGCUGCGCAGGCGCCAUAGGGUCUCUCAUCCCUAUCCUGCCGGCGAGUUCUCUUGCAGCCUCCCUAAACAGUAGGGAAAACUAGAGUUCGGCCUGGAUUGCUUAUGAGAAUUGGCAGUCAGCAUAGCCUUGCGGAGAAGGAAAGUUUGCUGUAUAACAAGUUACUGAAAAUUUAGCUGCUUAAAGCAACAUGAAUUUCAUCUGUCACAGGUUCUGUGGCUCAAGUGUCCAGGUCUCUGCUCAGGCCUCACAGGUAGGCAACCAGGUAUUUCAGGUAGGACUUCUGUCUUAUCAGAUGCUCAAACUCAUCCAGAUCAUUCAGGUGGUUGGCAGAAUUCAGUACCUGGUAGUUUUCUCCUUCAAGGUCAGCAAGGACAGGCCUGCCUGACCUUGCAACUUUUAAAUAACCCACCUAAGUCAGGCCUCCCCAAGGGGUGUGUGUGUGUGUGUGUGUGUGUUUGUUUGUACUGAGGACUGAACUCAGGGCCUUCACACUGAGCUACAUUCCUAGCCCUUUUUUAUAUUUAUUUCUCGAUGAUGUCUCACUAAGCCACUAAAUUGCCAGGUGAAACUCAAAUUGAUAAUCCUUCUGCCACAGCUUCCCACACAGCACUGGGAUUAUAGACCUGUGCCACCAUGCCUGGCAUAGCCUCCCUUUUGAUGAAUACAGAGUCAAUGAUUUUCAGGAGUGAUAUCCAUUAUAUUCACAAUUCCUGUCCAUACUCAAGUGGAGAGGUUCAUGCAAGGUGUGUACACACCUGGGGUAGAAAUUAUCUUUCAUCCUGCCAUAUGGAUCCUACUAUAUGGAAACAGCAAUGGCAGAUAGCUAUUACUUUCCCUGCCCACCAGGAAGACCUCCUUAUUCUAAGGGAUCUACCUCAACUGCAUGUCCAGCGACCUUCCCUCACAACUUGCAUCCAGCGUAGAAGGACUGUCAGCCAGGAUGCUCCAUGCUUGCCUUGCCAAGGGGUGGACAGGUGACUCAUGUAAGCCAGAAUUGCUCCUUGCCAUGAUUUGAACCUUGACAGGAGGUAAGAGAAUAGGACGGGGUAGACUGAACAACCAAUUGGGUAGGAUGUAUCAAAGGUAAAAAGAGAUUGAGCAAGCGAGAUGUUUUCUAAAAAGAGAGGACAUGCACAGAACCCAGGACCCAAAAUGACUCCUGAACACCAUAGGCCAAUCAGAAAAGUGCUAUUUUCAAUCCUUCAUUUGAAGCUGGUGCCAUUUCCAGGACCAUUUUUGCAAAGGAGAAGGGGACCAAGAGGUGGAGGGAGGAAAGAGGAAGAGAAAGGAAGAGAUGAAAAAAGGAAUUAGGCUGUGUUAUGCACAGGUACCAACUCCCCAUGAGAAAUGUAAUCAUGUCCUGCAAGCAUACUAGUAAAAAUUUUAAAUAUUAAAUAAAUAAAUAGAAAAAAAAGAUACUAUUUUCAAUCCUUCAUUCACAUGUGACAAGAAGGCAAGUGAAUUUUUUAAUAGGAUAUUUUACAUCUGGUGUGACAUCAAAUGAGUUUUUGAUAAAACAAAUGUCCCAAUGCCUUAUUUGCAUGAGAGGGAAGCCUACCUGGGAAUUUCAGAUAUGAAUGACCUUUCCCCCCUUAUCCUCAGAGCCAAUGUGAGCCUCUUCACCAGAUCACUCUCACCCUGUAGCGUGUACUUCCUCAGAGCCAAUGUGAGCCUCUUCACCAGAUCACUCUCACCCUGUAGAGUGUACUUCUUUUCUGCCUUCAAUAAAUGUACAGCUUUAUUGUCUUUUCUGUGUCUUCUCCAAUUUUUUGGGACACGAAGGACCUGGAAAAAAAGUCCCUAGGACCCUAAUGCAAAGAGUAUAAGCAGUAUUCAUCCAGCCUAGCUACCAUAUUCUGAAUUUCUACUCUAGCACUUGUCUUUUUCCAAAGCUUUCUUCUUUACUUUCUCUUUGGAUUAUAUAAAAUUCUCCCUGCCCUUCCAACAAAUUCCUAUCUUCUUCCAUAAUCUUUAAAACUUUUAGGGAUGCACAUGGUGACACCAACCUGUGAUCCUAGCUCUGGGAGACUGAGGCAGGAGGAUCACAAAUUAGAACCCAGCCUGGGCAAUUUAGCAGCUUACACCUUGUCUCAAAAUACAAAAGCCUUAAGAAAAAAAAAAGAAAGAAAAAGGGAUUGGGGAUGUACCUGAGGUGUGAAGGCCCCAGGUUUAACCCCAGUACAGAAAAAAGGUAAAGAAGAACUUAGCAAGACAAAUCGGAGAUUGUUCAACUCCUGUCUCAUGCCCUGAUGACAAUAUAUUGUCUUUGAGGCUCUGACAGAGGCUGAUAAGAUUAAAAGUAUCCUUCCUUGGCCAGGCAUUUAGCUCAGUGGCUCCACACCUACCUUUCAAGCACAAGGUCCUAAGUUUCAUCCCUGGUACAAAAAAAAGAAAAAAGGUUAAAGGUAUCCUACCUACCACCUGUGGGUUGGCUGGUUUGUUUGCUUUGCAGUACUAGGGAUUGAACUUGAGGCCUUCACACUGAGCUACAUAACAAGCCCUUUUUUAAAAAAUUAUUUUGAGACAAAGUCUCGCUAAGUUGCUCAUGCUAAGCUCAAAUUUGUGAUCCUCCUGCCUUAGCCUCCCAGAGUGCUGAGAUUACAGGUGUACCACCAUCCCCGGUGCCAUCUCUGUACUCAUCCUGUUGUCUGUCUGUCUGCCAAGUAUCUGGCCAGCUAUGUCAUCAUCCUUCAUUCCCAGGACAAUAUAAAUGUGUUUCCUGAACAGUGAAAUGUCUCAGUCUUUCUCUGCAUUCUCAUCGCUUUUAUUGUAAUAUGUAACAUGUUCCUUUUCUCAUAAAAAUAAGACUUUCUCAUACAAUGAGUCAUUAAUGAGACUUACUGAACCAGAACCAGUGUUCUCUUCUCAGCUGCCUUUCCCCGCACACUUUGAGUCACAAUCACAUCCCUGUGCCGGCCUUCCUUGGUCCCCUGCCUGCUUUAUCUCAGGGAAUUGCACAAAGCCCCAGUUAACUCUCUCUAUAAUUCUCCCCUUUAUAUUUGUUAUCCAUCAUUUCUCCUGCGAGGUCAACUCCAUGCAGACAAGAACUUCUUUAAAAAAAAAAAAAAAAGUUAUUGAUGUCGAACCAUAAAUACAGAAGAGUACGACUUGAUGACUCUUUGUAAAGGAAAUACACACACAUUGUGUAACCGCUUCUUAGAUCAAGUGAAAGAAGUCACAAUCUUGUUCCAAGUUAAUCUUGACUUUUAACAACAUACAUUCAUUUUCUGUUUUUGAACUUUAUAUAAAUGGAAUUUUACAGUAUGAACUCAUGUCCAUCAACAUUGUGCUUUGAAAUUAGUCCAUAUUGGAUGUGUUCAGUCUCAUCACCAUGUAUUAUAAUAACAUUGUGUGACUAUUUAUACACUCCACUUUUAAUGGGCAUUUGGGUGUUUCCCAGUCUAGGGGUUGUUAUGAUUUUAAUUGUGUCCCCCAAUAAGAUAUGUUGGAGUCCUAACCCAAGGUACUUAUUUCCAAAUGGAUGUAGGCAAGUUAAGAUGAGGUCAUCAGAGUGGACCUUUAAUUCACGUGCCUGGUAGCUUUAGAAGAAGGAAAUUUGGACACAUACACAGAGAGGGGAUACCGUGUGACAACAGAGGCAGGUACUGGAAUGAUCCAAGUGUAACCCAAAGAUCUUCAGCCUCCCCCAGGAGCAAGGAAAAGAAAAGUUUUGACUCAGCCUCUCAGCUGGAACAUAACCCUGCUGAAAUCUUAAAUUUGGACUUCUCAUUGCCAGAACUAUGAAAGAUAAAAUUCUCUUCUUUUAAACCACCAUGUAGUGCUUUAUGAUGACAUAGUGCUGCUGUGAAAAUUCUAGUGCAUGUCUUUUGCUGUGUCUGUGUGCACAUUCUGUAAUCUCAUUUCUAGGGUUUGGCAGGAUCAACUGAGCAGUUUUCUCAUAGGCUCUCUCAUGUUUGUAAUUAGAUGGCAGUUGGGGCUGGACUUCCCUGAAGGCUUCUUCACUCAAUGUCCCUUGACUGAGCUAGAUAGCUAGAAUAACGGGGCUGGUUGGGCAUCUCUCCCUCUCUUCCUGUAUGUGACUUGGGCUUCCUCAUAGCACAGAGGCCACAGUGUCAUUCAACUCCUUACAUGGCAGCUGACUUUCCCCAGCAUGAGCAUUCUAAGAGAAAGUCAUUGGAAAUUGCCAGUUUUCAUUAAUUGGUCAGAGUGACACUUGUAUCACGUCUAGUCAAAGGCCAGCUUAGCUCUAAAUGGAUGAAAGAAGGGCCUGCCUCUUUUUUUCUUUUUUUUUUUUUUCAUUUGUGGUACUGGGGAUUGAACCCAGGACCUUUGCAUUGAGCUACAUCCUCAACGCUUUUUUAAUUUUGAGACAGGGUUUCAUUAAAUCACCAAGUUGCUCCAGCUGUACUUGAACUUGUGGUUUUCCUGCCUCAGCCUCCCAGAGUGCUGGGAUUACAGGCAUGCACCACCAUGCCAGCCAUAGCGCCCACCUCUUGAUGAGAGGAGAGGUGCAUGCCUUUAGGGAGGGGGAGAAUUAAUGGUGGCACGCUUGGAGAUAAACUGCUAUACUCAGCACAAAGGUUGCCUGUGACCAUGAUACCCUUUGACUACGAAAGAAACAAAAUGACUAUUAAAAGAAUGGGACUACCUUACAAAAUCAAAGGGAAAACUUAGAAGACAGAGAAAUUCUAGUUAUAUACCAAGUACUGGUACACAAGCUUUUUGAGGCACAACCACGUGAUAAAUCAACUUCAUCUGUUUCUGGUACUCGUAUCUCUCUGUUCAAGACACAAAUUCCAGGAUAAAAAUUUUUACAGCAUAAAUUGAUUGUGUGGGCCAGGUGUGGUGGUGCAAGGCUGUAAUCUCAGUACUCUGGGAGGCUGAGACAAAAGGAUUGCAAGUUUGAGCCCAACCUGGGCAAUUUAGCAAGACUCUGCCUCAAAAAUAUUAAAAAGGGAUGGGGGGAGUGGCUGGGGAUUUAGCUCAGUGGUUCAGAUGCCUGCCUCACAAGCACAAGGUCCCAAGUUUGAUCCCCGGUACCAAAAAAAAAGGGAUGGGGAUGUAGCUCAGUGCAAAUGCCUUGGGUUUGAUCCCCAGUAUCACAAUCAGUCAAUCAAUUAGUUAGAUCAUGUGUUCACAUCUUGUCCAAGAGAGGACAAGAUUCUUGAAUGUAUAAGCCCACUAAAACUGCAUGAACAAACACCCAAUGAUAAAUGUAAACGAAUUGUAUACCUAAAAUGUACAAA